rnacentral:rRNA from 1 species
GAGUUUGAUCCUGGCUCAGGAUUAACGCUGGCGGCAUGCCUAAUACAUGCAAGUCGAACGGAGUAGCAAUACUUAGUGGCGAACGGGUGAGUAACACGUAUCUAAUCUACCAUUUAGUGGGGAAUAACUGUUGGAAACGACAGCUAAUACCGCAUAAUAUUGCUGGAUAAUUUCCAGUAAUGAAAGGAGCUUUCAAGCUCCGCUGAUUGAUGAGGAUGCGGCGCAUUAGCUAGUUGGUAGGGUAAUGGCCUACCAAGGCAAUGAUGCGUAGCCGAUCUGAGAGGAUGAACGGCCACAUUGGGACUGAG